rnacentral:misc_RNA from 1 species
GAUGAAGAACGUAGUGAAAUGCGAUAAGUAAUGUGAAUUGCAGAAUUCAGUGAAUCAUCGAAUCUUUGAACGCACCUUGCGCUCCUUGGUAUUCCAAAGAGCAUGCCUGUUUGAGUAUCAUUAAAUUAUCAACUGUACCAAUUUGGUUGCAGAUUGGAUGUGGGAGAUUUUGCAGGCUUUUGAUUUCUCUUUGAGAAAACGGUCAGCUCUCCUGAAAUAUAUUAGCAGUGCCUUUGUUGGUUCAAUAGGUGUGAUAAUUUAUCUACAUCUUCACAUGGUACCUUCAUUUGUGUAAAGGUCAUAUUGCUUCUAAUUGUCUUUGGACAUAAAAAAAAAAAAACAUAUAAUUGUAUGGAAAACUUGAUCUCAAAUCAGGCAGGACUACCCGCUGAACUUAAGCAUAUCAAUAAGCGGAGGA